GCUCGCGCAGUCCGGAAGUCACCCAUGACCUCUGCAGGAACUGGGAAUCUCCCGUGAUCAUAGAGUUGAAAAAACUAAGCUCGUAUUAUGCGCCAGCAAGGUCAACGCGGUAUUUCUUUACUCAUAACUCCGGCGCCAUCUGCUGGUUGCAUAUUGGAACUGUAGAAGUAGAACCUUGAUUGAAUGGACGCGUUUGCAACUCUGAGCAAUGUCUUGUAAAUACAUAAAGACCCUGACAAUUUGGACCAGAACCACUGACCUUCUUUCUUUCAAAGUAUUUUUACCAAAACGGUGUCAACAUGCAAGGUCCUUUGGAACUACCAAUAUCAAAAAAUACAAACAAGGACUAAAACAUCCAUCGCAAUUCUCACAGCAUUGUCAUAGAUGUUUUAAUGCUAUUAGUGCCACUCCUUUGUUUGCAUCGUAUGUGCCUGCAUCACACCAACACAGGACUGUUACCUCAGCAGCCGCUCUUGCUGCCGCAUCUGCAGGACAAGUGAACAAUGACUAUGGCAUCUUUGCAAAAAUGUCCGACUCCGCUCCUGUUCAUCUGGCUGAGAAUGUGCUAGUGUCUAUUCAAGAAGUCACAGGGCUACCAUGGUGGGUGAAUAUAAUCUGCACUACAGUAGCACUGAGGACAGCUGUCACCCUCCCUCUGUCAGUAUAUCAGAUGCACAUUCUGGGCAGGGUGGAAAAAUUGCAACCAGAAUUGCAAAAGUUAGCAAAGGAGCUGCACUAUGAGGUGGCUGUUUAUGGGAAGCAGCAUGGCUGGAGUGACAAAGUUGCAAAGUUUCAUUUUCGUAAAAACAUGAAAAGGUUAAUAACAGAACUCUAUGUACGAGAUAAUUGUCAUCCAUUUAAGGCCAGCCUGAUCAUGUGGAUCCAAAUACCCAUGUGGCUCUUUGUUUCUCUGGCUUUGAGGAAUUUCAGCUUUAAUACAAGUGGUUCAAAUGCAGAUGACAUGGUUUACAAGCAGCUACAAAAUGGGGGAACACUGUGGUUCUCAGACCUCACAAUGCCAGAUUCCACAUGGAUUCUCCCAGUACUUUUGGGCUCUAUCAACUUGCUGCUAGUAGAGAUGUUUGCCUUGCGGACGAUGGAGCUGUCUAGAUUUCAGAAAUACUUAACCAAUGUUGUUAGAGGAAUUACUCUUCUAAUGAUUCCUCUUGCUGCCAGUGUCCCCUCAAGGAGAUAGAUAACAGGAUGGAAAGCGAGAACACCUGCAGAAUUUGGAAGUCACUCUCAUGUCUGGCAAAGACUGGUCUAGUGCAAAGAACACAAACAUUUUGGAAACAGUUUAAAUCCUCAUGUUACGAAAUGAUGUUUCGCGAGAGUUUGAUGUUCUAUGGAAUGUGGUGGCGGGAGCACGUUCGGGAUACUUCAGAAAGGAGGCGUGACCUCCGAAACAUUGUCAGUGUUCGACACGGUCUCCGCUGUUCUCUUUUGUGAGAGGAAAGAACCUCCGCUGCAUGAUGCCCGAAUGUGGGUGAAAAUGAUCCGGCAAACGAGGAGUGCCAAGCGUAUUUAGUUGGUGCACCCUGGGUGAACGAUAAGUGUUUAAUCUUUUUGAUACAUCUUGUUGAUAUUUAUGGACUUUGUUCAUCUAUUUUGAAGAAAGAAAAUACUAAAAUUGCAUAAGA